rnacentral:rRNA from 1 species
GACGAACGCUGGCGGCGUGCUUAACACAUGCAAGUCGAGCGAUGAAGUUCCUUCGGGAACGGAUUAGCGGCGGACGGGUGAGUAACACGUGGGUAACCUGCCUCAUAGAGGGGAAUAGCCUUUCGAAAGGAAGAUUAAUACCGCAUAAGAUUGUAGCAUCGCAUGAUACAGCAAUUAAAGGAGUAAUCCGCUACGAGAUGGACCCGCGUCGCAUUAGCUAGUUGGUGAGGUAACGGCUCACCACGGCGACGGUGCGUAGCCGGCCUGAGAGGGUGAUCGGCCACAUUGGGACUGAGACACGGCCCAGACUCCUACGGGAGGCAGCAGUGGGGGAUAUUGCACAAUGGGGGAAACCCUGAUGCAGCAACGCCGCGUGAGUGAUGACGGUCUUCGGAUUGUAAAGCUCUGUCUUCAGGGACGAUAAUGACGGUACCUGAGGAGGAAGCCACGGCUAACUACGUGCCAGCCGCCGCAGUAAUAC